AUUGAACGCUGGCGGCAGGCUUAACACAUGCAAGUCGAGCGGGGUGAUGGUGCUUGCACUAUCACUUAGCGGCGGACGGGUGAGUAAUGCUUAGGAAUCUGCCUAUUAGUGGGGGACAACAUCUCGAAAGGGAUGCUAAUACCGCAUACGUCCUACGGGAGAAAGCAGGGGAUCACUUGCGACCUUGCGCUAAUAGAUGAGCCUAAGUCGGAUUAGCUAGUUGGUGGGGUAAAGGCCUACCAAGGCGACGAUCUGUAGCGGGUCUGAGAGGAUGAGCCGCCACACUGGGACUGAGACACGGCCCAGACUCCUACGGGAGGCAGCAGUGGGGAAUAUUGGACAAUGGGGGGAACCCUGAUCCAGCUAUGCCGCGUGUGUGAAGAAGGCCUUAUGGUUGUAAAGCACUUUAAGCGAGGAGGAGGCUCUUUUGGUUAAUACCCAAGAUGAGUGGACGUUACUCGCAGAAUAAGCACCGGCUAACUCUGUGCCAGCCGCCGCAGUAA
rnacentral:rRNA from 1 species